GCAGUUGGUUUUCACUCGAAAUCAGAAGGUCUCUGGUUUUUCUUAUAUUUCAGAGUGUAUCGGUGGAGUUAGAAUCUCUAUUUGUUAAAUUGUAGGGACAAGUUAAAGAGGUCGUGUGCGCGCGAUUCUGGAAGUGGUUCUGUUUUGAGGGUUAUAUGUGUUUAUGCACGGGGAAUCAGAUUUAUAUGUCUUCACGCCGAGAAGAAUUAAACCGAGCUUAUAGACCAAGGAUCUAGCCCAAGACUGUAGAGAUCGACUUCCCGGUGCCUGAUAGACUGCCUUAGUCUGUGGAAGCUUCAUUAUCGAUUGCCAGUACGUGUUUUGAGUUGGGCAUAGAGUCUGUUGUGUUGUGGUGUAUAUACACCCUUGUAUGUUAUAGAUACUCCACAGUUUGUAUAAGCUUUAGGAGCUGUAGUUGUGUAAAUUUUGUUGGUUAUAUUUUGAUUAAGGUGUCUUUAGGUUUACUCGUGAAAUCGGUAAAUUUUGAGGUACACUUCAUGUAUGUGUUUGACUAGCUGUGUUUGACUAGCCUAGGAUCCGCUGUGUUUUGUGGCAUGUACAAUAGUUUAUAUACUAGAUUGGCAAGUUCA